rnacentral:misc_RNA from 1 species
UGAGUGAAUAAACCGCUGCUAUUUCUGCUGGAGCUGAACCGGAAACAAACCCGAGCUGAAGCUUUAGAUCUUGAACCGCAAUGCUUAGUAGAUUAUCCACGCACUUUGCCAAUGCGUCUUCUGAUGGCGCGUUCUUGCACGCGCUAAAGUCACCGAGGCCAAUGGAGUGUACGAGGAUUUCCAAGUGAGAAAAGCGCAUUGAUGACACCAUUAAUGAUGGACGCUUCUGAGCAAUGGAGUUCGUGUAAGACUGGUCAUCGUGACCGUUGGAUAUAAUGAUGAUGCUGGAAAACGGAUUCUUCACUCGCCGAUCUUCAAUCACUUUUGCAGCUUUUUUAAGCGCGUCGUUUGCACUCAUCCCUUGACCAGUACUUCCCAAAGCAUCGAUAAUCCGACGAGCCGAUCUCCGUCCUUCGGCCGUCAUCCUCGUCAACGGCAACAACCGCUUGGACG